rnacentral:lncRNA from 1 species
CGUGUGUCUAUUUUCUUUUGUCGCAUCAUCAUCGCAUCAUGCGCAUCAUCAGCAUUGCAUCGGCAUCUCCGUUGCCGCCAGUUUUAAAAACUUGCAUUCGUUAGUAGUUGUCGGGUCUCGUCGUUGUCCGUUCUGAGCCCGACCGCACAGGCACGCGCCCGCGACGACGUCAAAACCCUGUUUUAAAAGUGCAUGUAAAACUUUCUCCCAUCGGGUUGAGAUUUGACGUGCGGUGUUAUUUUGUUAUAGCUAGGCCGCCUGUCGAAUUUCGUCGCGAUCGGAGUCCGUCUGGUACCCGAACGGUCGACCGUAGCGGCACCGUAUUCGGUCUACAAUCGGACGUGUUCCGGUGUUUUAAAUUGUGUCGCCGCGCCGCCCAUUCUCCCUCUCGUCUCCGGUUAUCCCCUCCACACGGCCGCGUACCCAUACCCGCGUUAGGAAUCGUCCGAAUCCGACCGCACGGUUGGAUCCGGAAUGAAAUUUCGGCUAACCUAGCCCCCUCGUUUGUCUAUUUAUAGACCCCGUGCUUAUUCUAGAC